rnacentral:rRNA from 1 species
UACGUAGGGUGCAAGCGUUAAUCGGAAUUACUGGGCGUAAAGCGUGCGCAGGCGGUUUUGUAAGCCAGAUGUGAAAUCCCCGGGCUUAACCUGGGAAUGGCAUUUGGGACUGCAAGGCUUGAGUGCGGCAGAGGAGACGUGGAAUUCCUGGUGUAGCAGUGAAAUGCGUAGAUAUCAGGAGGAACACCGAUGGCGGAAGGCAGGUC